AUUGAACGCUGGCGGCAGGCCUAACACAUGCAAGUCGAACGAGUGGCGGACGGGUGAGUAAUGUCUGGGAAACUGCCUGAUGGCGGGGGAUAACUACUGGAAACGGUAGCUAAUACCGCAUACCAUCGGAUGUGCCCAGAUGGGAUUAGCUAGUAGGUGGGGUAAAGGCUCCCCUAGGCGACGAUCCCUAGCUGGUCUGAGAGGAUGACCAUCCACACUGGAACUGAGACACGGGCCAGACUCCUACGUGAGGCAGCAGUGGGGAAUAUUGCACAAUGGGCGCAAGCCUGAUGCAUCCAUGCCGCGUGUAUGAAGAAGGCCUUCGGGUUGUAAAGUACUUUCAGCGGGGAGGCGUUACCCGCAGAAGAAGCACCGGCUAACUCCGUGCCAGCCGCCGCGGUAAUUC
rnacentral:rRNA from 1 species